AGUGAACGCUGGCGGUAGGCCUAACACAUGCAAGUCGAACGGCAGCACAGGAGAGCUUGCUCUCUGGGUGGCGGGUGGCGGACGGGUGAGGAAUACAUCGGAAUCUACUCUGUCGUGGGGGAUAACGUAGGGAAACUUACGCUAAUACCGCAUACGACCUACGGGUGAAAGCAGGGGAUCUUCGGACCUUGCGCGAUUGAAUGAGCCGAUGUCGGAUUAGCUAGUUGGCGGGGUAAAGGCCCACCAAGGCGACGAUCCGUAGCUGGUCUGAGAGGAUGAUCAGCCACACUGGAACUGAGAGCAGGUCCAGACUCCUACGGGAGGCAGCAGUGGGGAAUAUUGGACAAUGGGCGCAAGCCUGAUCCAGCCAUACCGCGUGGGUGAAGAAGGCAUUCGGGUUGUAAAGCCCUUUUGUUGGGAAAGAAAUCCAGCUGGCUAAUACCCGGUUGGGAUGACGGUACCCAAAGAAUAAGCACCGGCUAACUUCGUGCCAGCAGCCGCCGUAA
rnacentral:rRNA from 1 species